ACGACUUUAAAGUGAGAUUUACUGCUUUUCUUUAUUUAGAACCAGACAUGGAGACUUUGCGUUACUUUGUGGGUUUUUAACGGUUCAAUCCCCCAGAGUCCAUGGAGAAACUCUGUGAUUGGAAAUCAUGGCAAACAGAAGUUGUUGAUUUACAGCUGUCUCCAUCAGUUAGUUUACUUGUCUUAUUGUCUGACAUUGUUUUUGUUUUGUUUUUUAAAAGAUGUGUUAGAAUUUUGUUUGAUGAAAUCUCUAUUGACUUUGGUGUGAAAAAACAGAGAGGAAAGACAGGAAAACAACGUGAGUGAUUGUCCCCUAGGUGGAGGUGUUAAAAGUUAAAAGUUGGUCCUAAUAACUUUAGGAAUAUAAAUAUUUGAUAAAACUAUUGUGUUGCCUAAACACCAUCUACCUUCAGCUGUGUGAAACUACAGCAAAGGCAUUGGUUCUGAAACUUCAAUUGACUAAAUUAUUUUUUAUAUACAGUAUAUAUAUAAAGCAGCUCCUGCAGCUGAUUCCCAUCUGUGUCCUGAACAUACUCUCUUUCAGUUCCCCACUGCCUGCUCAAACCAUUUCCAUCAAAAAAAUCCCAGAAGUCACUGACUGCGUGCUGCGCUAAUGGCAGCUCCUGCAUCCAUUUUGUUUUUAAGCUCCUUUAAAUGAGCCUCUACGCCUUGUUGGAGAUAACACGUCUCUUAACCAAUCCUGCAGGCGGCUCAUUACAGCUAAUACAAUUAGGAAAGAUUGAAAAUGCGAUUAAUUCGGAAUUACACCGCGUUCCCGUUGUCACCCAGGGAUCCUCCAGAUGUUUCUUUGGCUUCCUCUCCUUUCUUUGUUGACAGACUCUGAUCAUUUUGAUCAAAAACAACUGUUAUAUCCAAAUAGCCUUUUAGCCUAAAUGUAGACCAGCAUUUAAAGUUGAAUCUAACAGCCUUACAAACAUAACACAGUGCUGUGUCUGGCUUAAGUCUCUCUUGAAACUGUUGAAGUCUUGUUGAUUCACCAUGGAUGGUUUUUCUUUGCUACGACACGGUGUACAUCGUUCCAAAGAAUGGUAAUGAUCUGUGGCCUAAGGAAAAGCAGACUUAAGUUGAGCUUGUUCUCAGGGAUUUAGAAAUGAAGCUGGAUUUUCCAGGUGUGACAUCGGCAGAUUUUCCGUUUCAUUUCUAACCUUCUUGGCUUAAAGAGCCAAAAGGCCAAACCUUUGAUUAUCAGUGCUGCCAUGUUCUGACCUUCACCAACAGUCAUUAGCUCUGAUUGGUGACUUUAAGAAUGAGAUUAUGGAUACCAAUGAAGGGAAUAAGCUUUCACCUCAGGGUGUGUGAGAGAAUGUCUGGAGACUGUGGAAAGUUCAGGUGGAACCGCUGCUCUAAAAGUUCUAAAACAUUUGUUGAAGUGCCAUCCAAAGCUUCUGUCGUUCAAACAUUAAUGAUAAAUUUCAAAUCUUUUUAAGGGCACUUUGCCUCGAGGUCGUGCCAGUUCCUGGCUCUGGUAACGGGGAAGUGUAAUCUGUGCCUAAUCAGGACAACUAGGGAUUUCUUUCUGGGUCCAUCCAAGUGGGAGCAGUCCCAGAACUCUCCAAACAGUAGUGUGUGUAUCCCACUAGGCCUGGAAUUACCAUGGAAUUUCCUUGGAAGAUUUGGGACACAGGGCUGUCUGAAAUAACCUGUGAUAAAUGAUGAAUGACAAUGAGGGCAGGAGGACGACAGCACUGUAUUCUUACACCGCUACAUGGCACUGAGAGAGUGUAGCCAAUGGCUCAUGGCUGAUGCCAUAGAUAUACAGAGAGAUACAUAGAAUUUUUCUUUAGCUGUGGGGGGCAGGUCACCCUGCACCCCCCACCCACAUGAUGUUCUCUUAAGCUUCAGUCCUUGCCAUUUUGUCAUCUGUCCUAUGGGUUAAUUAGACAUUAUGCUGAUGAUGUGACGCUGCUGUUAAGCCACGAGAAUUUUUCAAACACGACAUUGCGUGACAUUGUUACCGUCUGUAAUUGUAGGUCAUUAAUUUUGUUUGCCACACAGAGUACAUUGAUGAGGAAAUGCUGGGCGUCGCCAACACCAAAAUGACUAGAGCAAAGAUAUCCCAUGACUUUAUCACUUAAUCUUUACGAGGUGUUGAAAUGAUGGUACAGUUAUGGACUAUUAUUGUAUAUCUGCCCCAGCGAUUGGCAAGUAGCAGCGGGCCACCGCUGCUUAAUGUUCAUAGCUGUACCUAAUUAUGGUCAUGCAUCUCCAGGGAACGCCACUUACCAAACCUAUGCUGCAGUGAUCAAUCAUCUCAGAGAUGUUAUUGUUUAUAGUUAAGAAAUUACAAAUGGCCGACUUUGUGUCAUGUUUUGUCAGUGGCUCCUAGAAGCUUCAUUAUUUGGAUUGUCCUGACCUACAAACAGAUCUUCCAAGGCUGUCUUCAUGUGGAGUUUCGAGCUAAUAAGCUGUGCCUUAGGUUGAGCCAACUUCUUCUUUUGCAUUUAUUUUUUGUUCAAAAAUAUUAGACCUCAGAACAGAAGCAGUAGGAAUACUUGGACUCCCAUUGUGUCCCAUAUAGACUGCAUGUAUGAGGAGUAGUUCGCGUCUCGACUUGAGUUUGUCAAAGUUGUACAUCCCUAAAUGUUAAACGAGGUCAUCUGCCCUAUAAAGAUUAUAAAUUAAUGAUGGAUUUACACGGCAGUCGCUCAUUUUUACCAUUUAAGAAGCCAUCAAAACUUUAGCACGUAGCAAUAAUUAAAAGUUAAUUUAAGAGGUAGUUUUACGAAGACAUUACUCAUGAUCACCGCCUGGGUCGUUAUCAUAACAGCGAGGAAUUCACUGAUGACAAAGCAGAGGCUCAGUGACCUGAUUGUGUGACUGUUUAAAGAACAUGUUAAUGGGCCUAACCGGCUGCUAACCAUGAGUUCUUCUUCAUGUAUCGUACAUGAGUCCAUGUCGUUCUUUCUACCCUCGGAGUCUGAACUCUCCUUGAACUCUGUGACUAAUGACCUACUUUUCCCUCUCUUUUUUUUUUCCCCGAUAUG